CCUUGAAGAGCGAGGAACGUGUUCCAAGUCAUAACUAUAGUUAUAUCAUGUAAUAUAUCAUAUAUUUUUUAUGUAUUAUUUAUUAAAAAUGAAACAAGACAAUCCGAUUGAAUAUAAAAAAACGAAACAACCGCGAAAUGAAACGACGUGUAGGUACAUGUAACAUGAAAAGUACCCAGGUGUGUUCAAAACCAAGUUUUUCGAGUUUCGAUCAAAAAAUUGUACGAUUUGAUCGAUCUUCGGGCGACGCACGGUCCAAUGAAUAAAUAAAAAACGUUGUAUAUACAGGGAGUGCUAUAAAACGUGGCUAUAACUUUACGAGAGCGGUCUACGCACAAGAAUGAUAAAAGAAAGUUUCCGCGGAGCGAUUCUUAUAAAACGACAGACGCGAUUACCGUCAAAGUUUCGGGACAUAUGGAAAAAUUAUUCAUACGAAAAAUAUUCGGUUCGGAGAUGAACGUCAUAUGGUGGAAACGACUGUUCCGUGGGUCGAGGCUCUGGUAAGAUCUCAAAGUAAACGUAACUUUUUACUUUUAUUCGAGAAACUCUGUAUAACUUUUACCUGCCUUGUUCGAAAUUGUUUUCGAGACGUAUUUAAUAACUACUAACGUUGAAUUCGGGAACUGUUGUGAAAACCGUGUCGAGAACUUAAAAGCUACGAAGAAAGAACAAAGAAAGGUGGUGUCGACGAACAACGAGAAACCUCGCACAGACAACAGCUUGGUACGAUUGUUGAAUCGCAAUCAACUGAAUGCCAACAUCUGAUUCAGUUCAUGGCAUUAGGCAAACGUUGAAGCCAUAAGCUAUAAGCCAUAAGGGAGUCGUCAACUGUGUUCACAAUCUAGAAGUUCCGGGACCGUCGACUACAAACGAUUCGAGAGGGUACAGUCGCGAGUUUCAGAUAUUCUAACAGAGCCAUGUCAAACUCAUUUUCGCCCGAGGACUAAUUUGCACUCUGCUACCAUGUUGCCGACCGCAGACACACAAUUAUUUCACCGGAGUCGAAAGUAACUCAAAGGCCAUUCAUUCAACACAAGGCGAGUGGAGUAAGACAGAACAUACUCUUCCUGAGUCAUAUCGUUUCAAUAACAACACCAGCCAUUACAUAAUCUUAUUAGAAACAUAAUAUGAAUUACAAAAUCGUACUGUAAAGAAAAAGUAGUUCCUAUUGCAAUGAGCAAACAAAUUUUUUACAAAUGUCAUAGAAUCAUGCAUACCAGCUAAUCACUGAUGUUCCAUUACGGUUAUUCCCUCGAGAACAGAGAAGCCAUACCAAAGUUGGAAUAUUUAUAAGUUGUCGCCAACCAUUAAUUAGCAUAGCGCGGCAAAACGC